CCUACGGGCGGCUGCAGUGGGGAAUAUUGGACAAUGGGCGAAAGCCUGAUCCAGCCAUGCCGCGUGUGUGAAGAAGGCCUUUGGGUUGUAAAGCACUUUCAGUGGGGAAGAAAGCCUUGGGGCUAAUACCCUCGAGGAAGGACAUCACCCACAGAAGAAGCACCGGCUAACUCCGUGCCAGCAGCCGCGGUAAUACGGAGGGUGCGAGCGUUAAUCGGAAUUACUGGGCGUAAAGCGCGCGUAGGCGGUCUGAUAAGCCGGUUGUGAAAGCCCCGGGCUCAACCUGGGAACGGCAUCCGGAACUGUCAGGCUAGAGUGCAGGAGAGGAAGGUAGAAUUCCCGGUGUAGCGGUGAAAUGCGUAGAGAUCGGGAGGAAUACCAGUGGCGAAGGCGGCCUUCUGGACUGACACUGACGCUGAGGUGCGAAAGCGUGGGUAGCAAACAGGAUUAGAUACCCCAGUAGUC
rnacentral:rRNA from 1 species